rnacentral:rRNA from 1 species
CAAGUCGAGGGGUAACAGGGUGUAGCAAUACACCGCUGACGACCGGCGCACGGGUGAGUAACGCGUAUGCAACCUGCCUUUGACAGAGGGAUAGCCCAUGGAAACGUGGAUUAAUACCUCAUAGUCUCUUUUUCUUCCUGGGGAAUAGAGUAAAACGUGAGUGGUCAAAGAUGGGCAUGCGUCCUAUUAGGCAGUUGGCGGGGUAACGGCCCACCAAACCGAUGAUAGGUAGGGGUUCUGAGAGGAAGGUCCCCCACACUGGUACUGAGACACGGACCAGACUCC